GGGCCUUUAGCAGAUCCAGAAGCAGGUGUCACUCCCAAGAGUGACAUCAACACUGGCUCUACCAAAACUGCCAAGAAUCAUAAGGACACCUAUUCUGAAAUUUGAAGAGGACUGUGCACGGAGACAGACUAUGGUGAUUACAUAUACAUUUUAAGCAGGUGUCAGAUCUGCCUGAAUGCUUUCCCUGCCCAUCCUGUCCCCUCCACUUUGUCGUUCCUAUUGUCCGCUAACCCACCUUUCAUCAUUCU